GCUCCAAUAGCGUAUAUUAAUGUUGUUGCGGUUAAAAAGCUCGUAGUUGGAUCUCGGCGGGCUGGGGGCGGUACGAUGUUUGUCGUUGACUGCCUCUUUAUUGCAAAAGCCGUGUACAAGUUUGGCGGAGUGUUCCAGGGUGUUCUUAACCGAGUGUCCUGGGCAACCGUCAGGUUUACUUUGAAAAAAUUAGAGUGCUC
rnacentral:rRNA from 1 species